rnacentral:rRNA from 1 species
AUUGAACGCUGGCGGCAGGCUUAACACAUGCAAGUCGAACGAGUGGCGGACGGGUGAGUAAUGCUUGGGAAUCUAGCUUAUGGAGGGGGAUAACUACGGGAAACUGUAGCUAAUACCGCGUACCAUAGGAUGAGCACAAGUGGGAUUAGGUAGUUGGUGAGGUAAAGGCUCACCAAGCCGACGAUCUCUAGCUGGUCUGAGAGGAUGACCAGCCACACGGGGACUGAGACACGGCCCAGAUCCCUACGGGAGGAAGAAGUGGGGAAUAUUGCGCAAUGGGGGCAACCUGACGCAGAAAUGCCGCGUGAAUGAAGAAGGCCUUCGGGUUGUAAAGUUCUUUCGGUAGGAAGGCGUUAACUACAGAAGAAGCACCGGCUAACUCCGUGCCAGCAGCCGCGGUAAUAC